UGUCGGCCAUUCGAUCGAAGGCGAGUGGUGGUGUGGUGUGGCUGUGGCGCUUGUGUGACAGUGUGUGGGGGAAUUUUUAUUUGGUUUUCCUGGCAAAGGAGAGAGAGAGAUAGAAGAGAGAGAGAGAGAGAGAGAGAGAGAGAGAGAGAGAGAGUUUGUGUGUGUGAGCGUGAGAGUGUGAGAGGGCCUAGAAUGCGGCAUCGGCUUUGGCGAGGGCUUUGAUUCCCAAGAAAGGAUGCUGCUGCGCAACUCAAUGUCCUUUCCUUGGAGUUCUUCCUCUUCUCUCUUUCUCUGUGUCAAUCAAACCCUAGUCGCGGCGGAGGAGGAUUCGCGAGCGCCGCCGCCAAUAAUCUAGGUCCGGCGUCCUGUUAAGGCGCGGGGUGCGGGAUUGGACAGGUCGGGUGUGGAUUCCCAUGGAUUGGUAGCUCAGGGUAGGACGCGCUGGUGGCAGCGGCCAAGGACAGGGCGGCGCGGCGGCGGCGGGGGCAGGGGAAGCGGUCCAAGAAGAUCGGGGCGGUGGAGAUAUGUCGUCACUCAGCCGGGAGCUCGUGUUCCUCAUCUUGCAGUUCCUGGAUGAGGAGAAAUUCAAGGAGACGGUGCACAAGCUGGAGCAAGAAUCUGGCUUCUACUUCAACAUGAAGUACUUUGAAGAUCAGGUCCAGAAUGGGGAGUGGGACGAGGUGGAGAGGUACUUGUCUGGCUUCACCAAGGUGGAUGACAAUCGCUACUCCAUGAAGAUUUUCUUCGAGAUAAGAAAGCAAAAGUACCUCGAGGCCUUGGACAAGCAAGAUAGAGCGAGGGCAGUGGAGAUACUAGUCAAGGACCUCAAAGUGUUUGCGUCCUUCAACGAAGAUCUGUACAAGGAGAUUACGCAGCUUCUUACGCUGGAAAACUUCAGAGAAAACGAACAGCUGUCCAAGUAUGGGGACACGAAAUCUGCCCGGAACAUAAUGCUAUUGGAGCUUAAGAAACUGAUUGAGGCCAAUCCUUUGUUCCGGGAGAAGCUUCAAUUUCCGGGGCUCAAAGCGUCACGGCUCCGAACGCUGAUUAAUCAAAGCCUCAAUUGGCAACAUCAGCUUUGCAAGAAUCCUAGGCCCAACCCAGAUAUCAAAACUCUGUUUGUAGAUCAUACCUGUGGCGCGCCGAAUGGAGCCCGCGCGCCACCACCAGCAAACAGUCCCUUGGUCGGGAGUCUUCCGAAAGGUGCCGGGUUCCCCCCCUUGGGUGCGCACAGCCCUUUCCAACCAGCGGCCCCUACAGCUAGUGCACUUGCAGGCUGGAUGGCCAAUCCAAAUCCUCCGUCACAUCCAGGUGUUGUCGGAGGGCCUGCCGCUCUCGCCGGAGCUCCGAACCCAGCUGCAAUGCUAAAGCGACCCAGGACGCCUCCGCCAGCCCCUACGGUUGAUUUCCAGACGGCUGAUUCCGAGCACUUAAUGAAGCGAAACCGACCUGUUGGUCAGCAUGUGGAAGAGGUGAACUUUCCGGGACCAAACAUUCAGCAAGCGUCAUACACGAUAGAUGAUAUUCCAAAGACUGUUGCGAGGACCAUCAACCAAGGUUCCUGUGUUGCGACAAUGGACUUCCACCCUCUGCAGCAAGUCAUUCUUUUAGUUGGUACAAAUGUUGGUGAAAUUGCUAUUUGGGAUGUGGCCACGCGGGAACGCCUCGCGCUGAAAACGUUCAAAGUCUGGGAGGUUUCAGUGUGUUCUAUGCCUCUCCAGACUGCUCUCGUUAAAGACCCAGCAGUUGCUGUUACGAGGGUUGUUUGGAGUCCAGAUGGAAAUUUUAUAGGGGUGGCUUUCAAUAAGCACAUUGUUCAGGUUUAUCAGUAUUUUGGAGGCGUCGAGCUACGGCAGCAAGUGGAGAUUGAUGCGCAUGUGGGGAGUGUGAACGAUCUUGCAUUUGCCCAUCCAAACAAGCAACUGUGCAUAAUUUCUUGUGGCGAUGACAAAACGAUCAAGGUGUGGGAUGCGGUGAGUGGUCGCAACAAAUACACUUUUGAGGGUCACGAAGCGCCAGUGUACUCUGUUUGUCCGCAUCACAAGGAAAAUAUACAGUUCAUAUUUUCUACAGCAAUGGACGGCAAAAUCAAGGCGUGGCUGUACGAUUGCCUUGGUUCACGGGUUGACUAUGAUGCGCCUGGAAGUUGGUGCACAACAAUGGCCUACAGUGCUGAUGGCACAAGGCUCUUUUCGUGCGGAACUAGCAAGGAGGGUGACUCAUUCCUUGUCGAGUGGAAUGAAAGUGAAGGGGUUAUCAAACGCACGUACAUUGGAUUCCGUAAGAGAAUGCCAAACGUUGUCCAGUUCGACACCACUAGGAACUGCUUUCUAGCGGUUGGGGACGAGUUCUCGGUCAAGUUCUGGGACAUGGACAACAUAAACUUAUUGACCUCCAUCGAUGCCGACGGCGGAUUGCCUGCGAGCCCGCGAAUUCGUUUCAACAAAGAAGGCUCUUUACUCGCAGUAACAACAAUCGACAAUGGUUUCAAGAUUUUGGCUAAUGCAGAUGGCUUGCGGCUUCUACGGUCUUUUGAGGGUAACAAAGUACCUCCGGAAACAAAGGGGAACGUUGCAAGUGCAUCAGGCAGCGGGGUUGACAGACCAGUUUCGCAACCGGUACCUUUUACUGGAGGGGUAUGGAUGGAAAUCUCUUUUGAAAUGCCUUCUGACAAAUAUAACUGCAGAACGGCAUUGAAAAUGGACGCCCGGAGACAAAACCCCGAACUACAGACGACUCAAACAAACUGUGGAAGCUAACUGAAAUUGUGGAACCCUCUCAUUGUCGUGCAUUAAAGCUACCAGAUACUCUACCAGCAAGCAAGAUAUCAAGACUUAUCUUCACAAACAAUGGUCUGGGCUUAUUAGCGCUCGCUUCUAGUGCAGUUCACAAGGUUUGGAAAUGGUCUCGCAAUCCACUUGGAAAAGCAACUGCUAGUUUUCCACCACAACUAUUCCAGCCAUCAAGUGGGAUUCUCAUGACCAAUGAUACGACCGAGAACAAUCCGGAAGAAGCUGUGCCUUGCAUUGCCUUGUCAAAGAAUGACUCUUACGUGAUGUCCGCUUCGGGAGGCAAAGUUUCUCUAUUUAAUAUGAUGACUUUCAAGGUGAUGACAGCAUUCAUGCCACCGCCACCAGCAGCAACGUUCCUGGCUUUUCACCCUCAAGACAACAAUAUCAUAGCGAUUGGAAUGGAAGAUUCUACAAUACAAAUAUACAAUGUUCGAGUUGACGAGGUUAAAAGUAAGCUCAAAGGUCACCAAAAGAGGAUUACUGGACUGGCAUUCUCCAAUGUCCUACACGUACUUGUGUCGUCUGGAGCCGAUGAUCAGCUUUGUGUAUGGGGCACCGAUGGAUGGGAGAAGCGCAAGUCAAAAUUCCUUCAAACACCGCCAGUGAAGGGAACUCCGGCCACCGGAGACACGAAAGUACAGUUUCACAACGACCAUACUCGUCUUCUGGUCGUGCACGAGACGCAGCUAGCUAUUUAUGAUGCCGCCAAACUAGAGCGCUUGAGUCAAUGGGUUCCGAAAGACAACUUCCCGGCCGGAAUCUCUAGCGGAACGUAUUCCUGCGACAGUCGGCUGGUCUACGCCGCGUUUCUCGACGGCGCCAUCGGCGUGUUUGAAGCCGAGACGUUGCGACCAUACUGUCGCAUUGCUCCGACCGUGUAUCUACCUCAGGGAGUCACAGGCGCUCAUCCGCUUGUAGUCGCUGCGCACCCCUCCGAGCCCAAUCUCUUCGCACUGGGACUAACCGACGGAAGCGUCCAAGUGCUAGAGCCUCUAGAGUCGGAGGCCAAGUGGGGGGUGGCGCCGCCGGCGGAGAACGGCUCCGCCAUGGUCACCACCUCGGGUCCGCCAACAGGCUCGGUCCAGGUAUCGGAUCAAGCAUCGAGAUGAUGAGAUUUUGCGGAGGGAUCGUAGCUUCAAGCUUUUGUAUGGUGAAGGGCGGAGCAGAGCUUGGAGGGGCUCUUUCGUACUUAGGAGGCGGAUGGACGUCGAGGAAAAGCAUGCUGCAGACAUCAAUUUUGUGCCCGGGCUGGAAGUCUUUUGGUAGAGAAAGGUGUACAGAGAAAAAAGCUAAGUUUCUUCGUUUGUGCCGCGAAGAACUGACCGUGGUUUCGUCGUCAGAAGGGAAGGGUUUCGAGGUGUAUACUAUAAUCAACUCAUUCUUAAGUUUCAUAUCCAUAUUGUUUUCAUCUU